ensembl:lncRNA
CGAUCUGUUUCCUCUGAGAACAAAAAGAGGAUGAAAGAAGAAAAUUCAACAAUAUCUUAAACACUUACACGAUACAGACUUAAUGAUUGAAUCAAAUCAGAUGUGGAAUUUUAAAGAGUGUGUCCGAGGAGAAAUGUGUUAGAUAUUUCAUAGGCCAGUAAAUGUAAGUAACUGUAGCUAUAAUAUACAAUAUAAUAAUACAUAUGAUUUGCAUUUUUAGUAAAAGCAAACACUUAAUUAAUAGAUUUUUUGCCAGCUCUGUGAUUUUUAUGUUACAGAUGUUGCUAGUUGUAGAAUCUGACACAUAAAAUGCUAAAAUAAUUUGACACUGACUUAUUUGUUUCCUGCACAUCAUUUUUUUUUUUUUUAGUGAAAGUUUUUGUUCUUAUAAAGCAGAAAGCUCAGAGGAUAUCUCGAAGUAUUACUGUUCACAUAAUGUUUGUGAUAUAAUGUAGAUGUGAAAUUAAAAGCAGCAAACAUCGCUCUGUGACUCUGCCACAGACUCGUGUUAACUGGGUAUUCAAUGGUGAUUUUUUUUCACAGAUUUUAGAUUCUGUAUUUUUUACUCUUUUUCUGCUUUUAGGGCACAACUGACUCCAAUACAACAAUCACAUCAACAGUGACGACGACAGUGACAGCAGGACAGAAAAGUACAGCAAAAACAGAAACAAGCACAAGACUAAGAACCAAUCUGCUGACAGAUAAUGUUGACAGAGUGGAUGUGACCACACAAAAUGAGAACAGUAUAACUCUGACCUGGAACAAGGUUAACAACAUCCCAACAUACAUCCUGCAAUAUGGUAAUAUAAGAGAAGAUAUUUAUAAACCUGAAGAAGGACCCAUAGUACAUGUGGUCACUUCUCUGACUGCUGGGACAAACUACACAUUCACUCUCUUCACCAUGUCUGAGGGACUCAACAGCAGUGGAUACAGAUUCAGUGCUGUGACAGCUCCUCGUAAUGCUGACGACUUUAAGAAAAAUGGACAAGAUGAGACCAGCAUAACUCUGGAGUGGAAAACAGUCCCCAACAUCGACAAAUACAUUCUUGCAUUUAAUGAAAGAGAGAUCAAUAUUAGUAAUUCUGAAAACGAAUACAGAGUGUUAAAUUUGACCAGUGGAACCAGAUACACUUUCACUCUCUUCACUGUGUUUGGAAAUGUCAGAAGCAGUGGAGUAAACUGCAUCACAGUCACUGCUCCUCGUAAUGCUGACGACUUUAAGAAAAAUGGACAAAAUGAGACCAGCAUAACUCUGGGGUGGAAAACAGUCCCUAACAUCGACAAUUAUAUUCUUGCGUUUAAUGGGAGCAAGAUCAAUAUUAGUAAUUCUGAAAAAGAAUACAGUGUUAAAUUUGACCAGUGGAACCAGAUACAAUUUCACUCUCUUCACUGUGUUUGAUAAUGUCAGAAGCAGUGGAGUAAACUGCAUCGCAGUUACUGGUGAGAUGUAAUUUCUCUAACAUAGAUAGAUAAACCAGGAUGGACCGGCUCAUUAGUACUUGAAACUUUAGCUGAUGGAGAGUUGUUGUUUUUUUUUGUGUGUUUUUUUUGUUUGUUUGUUUAUCAAAACCGCUUUCCUCUGUUAUCUUUAGCUCCACAAAGUGUUAAUAAUGUGACUGUGGUGCAUCAAAAUGAGAUGAGUAUACCACUGGAGUGGGACAAGGUUAAAAACAUCCCAGAAUACAUCCUACAGAAUAAUAACAUAAACAUUUGUUCAAUUUUCCAAUUUGAAUAUGUCAAAUACUAACCCGACCUAUAAUCCUAGACUGCUUACUGCUAACCUGGUGGAGGUUAACAGAUUAAAAACAGCUAAAACAGUCAUAGUCCUUUAAAAUGUUCCACAGUUGAUGCUCCUCUACAACAUGAACAAGAGCAGAGCUCUAUAAUGAUGUUUAAGGUUUCUCAGAAACAGAAGAGUGUAGCUCACCUAAUAUUUUUCAAAAGGACUGAUAAAAAUACUGAAACUGAAGCCUCGCUCCAUGUUUCUGUUUCUGACAGAAAAUGUUGUUACAGUUUCUUGUUUGUACGUUUUUCUAUUCUAGCUCCUCGUAAUGCUGACGAAUUUAAGAAAAAUGGACAAGAUGAGACCAGCAUAACUCUGGGGUGGAAAAUAGUCCCCAACAUCGACAAUUAUAUUCUUGUGUUUAAUGAAAGAGAGAUCAGCAUUAGUAAUUCUGAAAAAGAAUACAG